CCUACGGGAGGCAGCAGUAGGGAAUAUUGCUCAAUGGGGGAAACCCUGAAGCAGCAACGCCGCGUGGAGGAUGAAGGUUUUCCGAUUGUAAACCCCUUUUGUUAGAGAAGAUAAUUACGGUAUCUAACCAAUAAUCACCGGCUAACUCCGUGCCAGCAGCAGCGGUAAUACGGAGGGUGCAAGCGUUACCCGGAAUCACUGGGCGUAAAGCGUGCGUAGGCGGGGUAGCAAGUCAGAUGUGAAAUCCUAGGGCUUAACCAUAGAACUGCAUUUGAAACUGUUAGUCUAGAGUAUGGGAGAGGUAGGUGGAAUUCUUGGUGUAGGGGUAAAAUGCGUAGAGAUCAAGAGGAAUACUCAUUGCGAAGGCGGCUUGCUAGAACAUAACUGACGCUGAUGCGCGAAAGCGUGGGGAGCAAACAGGAUUAGAUACCCGUGUAGUC
rnacentral:rRNA from 1 species